UACGGAGGGGACUAGCGUUGUUCGGAAUUACUGGGCGUAAAGCGCACGUAGGCGGAUUUGUAAGUCAGGGGUGAAAUCCCGGGGCUCAACCUCGGAACUGCCUUUGAUACUGCAAAUCUCGAGUCCGGAAGAGGUGAGUGGAAUUCCUAGUGUAGAGGUGAAAUUCGUAGAUAUUAGGAAGAACACCAGUGGCGAAGGCGGCUCACUGGUCCGGUACUGACGCUGAGGUGCGAAAGCGUGGGAGCAAACGGG
rnacentral:rRNA from 1 species